AACAAACGCUGGCGGCGUGCCUAAUACAUGCAAGUCGAACGGGGAAAGCUUUCGGGUGAGUACUAGUGGCGCACGGGUGAGGAACGCGUGGAUAAUCUGCCUUAGAGUGGGGGAUAACUAGUCGAAAGAUUAGCUAAUACCGCAUAAGACCACAAGAACUGCGGUUCAAGGGGUCAAAGGUUUUUCGCUCUAAGAUGAGUCCGCGUAAGAUUAGCUAGUUGGUGAGGUAACGGCUCACCAAGGCGACGAUCUUUAACUGGUCUGAGAGGAUGAUCAGUCACACUGGAACUGAGACACGGUCCAGACUCCUACGGGAGGCAGCAGUAGGGAAUAUUGCACAAUGGAGGAAACUCUGAUGCAGCGACGCCGCGUGAGUGAUGAAGGCCUUCGGGUCGUAAAGUUCUGUCGCAGGGGAAUAACACAAUGAAGGUACCCUGUAAGAAAGGAUCGGCUAACUUCGUGCCAGCCGCCGCGGUAAAAC
rnacentral:rRNA from 1 species